rnacentral:tRNA from 1 species
GCGAAAGUGGCGGAAUUGGCAGACGCACCAGACUUAGGAUCUGGCGCCGCAAGGCGUGGGGGUUCGAGUCCCCCCUUUCGCACCA